rnacentral:rRNA from 1 species
UACGAAGGGGACUAGCGUUGUUCGGAUUUACUGGGCGUAAAGCGCGCGUAGGCGGAUCGCUAAGUCAGGGGUGAAAGCCCAGGGCUCAACCCUGGAACUGCCUUUGAUACUGACGAUCUGGAGAUCGGGAGAGGUUGGUGGAAUUCCGAGUGUAGAGGUGAAAUUCGUAGAUAUUCGGAGGAACACCAGAAGCGAAGGCGGCCAACUGGCCCGAUACUGACGCUGAGGCGCGAAAGUGUGGGGAUCAAACAGG